UUAAAGGAAUUGACGGGACCCGCACAAGCGGUGGAUGAUGUGGUUUAAUUCGAUGCAACGCGAAAACCUUACCCACCUUUGACAUGUACGGAACCCUUUAGAGAUAGAGGGGUGCUCGAAAGAGAGCCGUAACACAGGUGCUGCAUGGCUGUCGUCAGCUCGUGUCGUGAGAUGUUGGGUUAAGUCCCGCAACGAGCGCAACCCUUGUCAUUAGUUGCUACAUUCAGUUGGGCACUCUAAUGAGACUGCCGGUGACAAGCCGGAGGAAGGUGGGGAUGACGUCAAGUCCUCAUGGCCCUUAUAGGUGGGGCUACACACGUCAUACAAUGGCUGGUACAAAGGGUUGCCAACCCGCGAGGGGGAGCCAAUCCCAUAAAGCCAGUCGUAGUCCGGAUCGUAGUCUGCAACUCGACUACGUGAAGUCGGAAUCGCUAGUAAUCGUUGGAUCAGAAUGUCACGGUGAAUACGUUCCCGGGUCUU
rnacentral:rRNA from 1 species